rnacentral:rRNA from 1 species
AAUACCCAAUCCUGACACAGGGAGGUAGUGACAAGAAAUAACAAUACGGGGCUUAAUGUCUUGUAAUUGGAAUGAUGGGAAUUUAAACCUCUUCCAGAGUAUCAAUUGGAGGGCAAGUCUGGUGCCAGCAGCCGCGGUAAUUCCAGCUCCAAUAGCGUAUAUUAAAAUUGUUGCAGUUAAAAAGCUCGUAGUUGAAUUUCUGCUGCUUUGCAUUUUCUCCUUGACGAGUUUUUGCAUUGUGGCUUAUUUCGGAUUAUGCUUGCAUUUUCCGGAUGUUUACUUUGAGAAAAUUAGAGUGCUCAAAGCAGGCUUUUGCCUUGAAUAGUUUAGCAUGGAAUAAUAAAGUAGGACUUUGGUUCUAUUUUGUUGGUUUUAGGUACCAAAGUAAUGGUUAAUAGGAACAGUUGGGGGCAUUCGUAUUUAA